GACAGAGGGUGCAAACGUUGUUCGGAAUUACUGGGCGUAAAGCGCAUGUAGGCGGCGAUUCAAGUCGGGGGUGAAAUCCUGAGGCUCAACCUCAGAACUGCCUUCGAUACUGUAUUGCUGGAGUAUGGAAGAGGUAGGUGGAACUGCGAGUGUAGAGGUGAAAUUCGUAGAUAUUCGCAAGAACACCAGUGGCGAAGGCGGCCUACUGGUCCAUCACUGACGCUGAGAUGCGAAAGCGUGGGGAGCAAACAGG
rnacentral:rRNA from 1 species